UGGGGAAUAUUGGACAAUGGGCGAAAGCCUGAUCCAGCCAUGCCGCGUGUGUGAAGAAGGUCUUCGGAUUGUAAAGCACUUUAAGUUGGGAGGAAGGGCAGUAAGCGAAUACCUUGCUGUUUUGACGUUACCGACAGAAUAAGCACCGGCUAACUCUGUGCCAGCAGCCGCGGUAAUACAGAGGGUGCAAGCGUUAAUCGGAAUUACUGGGCGUAAAGCGCGCGUAGGUGGUUCGUUAAGUUGAAUGUGAAAGCCCCGGGCUCAUCCUGGGAACUGCAUCCAAAACUGGCGAGCUAGAGUAGGGCAGAGGGUGGGGGAAUUUCCUGUGUAGCGGUGAAAUGCGUAGAUAUAGGAAGGAACACCAGUGGCGAAGGCGACCACCUGGGCUCAUACUGACACUGAGGUGCGAAAGCGUGGGGAGCAAACAGG
rnacentral:rRNA from 1 species